rnacentral:rRNA from 1 species
AACGAACGCUGGCGGCAGGCUUAACACAUGCAAGUCGAACGGGUGUAGCAAUACAUCAGUGGCAGACGGGUGAGUAACACGUGGGAACCUUCCUCGUUGUACGGGACAACUCAGGGAAACUUGAGCUAAUACCGUAUACGUCCGAGAGGAGAAAGAUUUAUCGCAAUGAGACGGGCCCGCGUCGGAUUAGCUAGUUGGUGGGGUAACGGCCUACCAAGGCGACGAUCCGUAGCUGAUCUGAGAGGAUGAUCAGCCACACUGGGACUGAGACACGGCCCAGACUCCUACGGGAGGCAGCAGUGGGGAAUCUUGGACAAUGGGCGCAAGCCUGAUCCAGCCAUGCCGCGUGAGUGAAGAAGGCCUUAGGGUUGUAAAGCUCUUUUGCCAGGGACGAUAAUGACGGUACCUGGAGAAUAAGCCCCGGCAAACUUCGUGCCAGCCGCCGCGGUAA